GUUUUAGAUUUUGAAAAAACAGACUUUUCUAAAAUUAGAAUAUGUGUAAAGAAGCCAUUAUCAGACUAGAGCAAUGUAAAUGGAGUCCAAGAGAAACGGGAUAAUUGAAAAGUUGCACUGCUAAAGGCAACAGAAAAUUGCAUUAGGCUUGUCAGUAAAAGCAUAAAAUUCAAGAAACCACUGUGGUACUCCGCAGAUGUGGACAAAAUAGUAAAAAACAAAAAGUUAGCAUUUAGUAAUUAUAAAAAAAAAACAGAGUGAGGAAGACAAAAUGAUCUAUAAGAUUAGACAGAAAGAGGCUAAGCAAGUUAUAAGAGCUUCAAAAAUCCCACUGAAGACAAAAUAGCACAGUCAAAAAAGGGGAC